ACUCAACAUUAUACCUUUAUAAAGGGUGAGUCUUAAUUGUAAAAGCAAGCCGUCUAGAACGGAUCCUUGACCAAUUAGUUAACCCUAAUCUUGUCUUAAAGGAGUUU
rnacentral:sRNA from 1 species